ACAGCAGUCGCCGCGGGAAUACGUAGGUGGCAAGCGUUGUCCGGAAUUAUUGGGCGUAAAGGGCUCGCAGGCGGUUUCUUAAGUCUGAUGUGAAAGCCCCCGGCUCGACCGGGGAGGGUCAUUGGAAACUAGGAAACUUGAGUGCAGAAGAGGAGAGUGGAAUUCCACGUGUAGCGGUGAAAUGCGUAGAGAUGUGGGGGAACACCAGUGGCGAAGGCGACUCUCUGGUCUGUAACUGACGCUGAGGAGCGAAAGCGUGGGGAGCGAACAGGAUUAGAGACCCCCGUAGUCCCUGUCUCUUAUAC
rnacentral:rRNA from 1 species